UACGGGGGGGGCAAGCGUUGUUCGGAAUUACUGGGCGUAAAGGGCUCGUAGGUGGCCAACUAAGUCAGACGUGAAAUCCCUCGGCUUAACCGGGGAACUGCGUCUGAUACUGGAUGGCUUGAGUUUGGGAGAGGGACGCGGAAUUCCAGGUGUAGCGGUGAAAUGCGUAGAUAUCAGGAGGAACACCGGUGGCGAAGGCGGAUCUCUGGGCCUUACCUGACGCUGAGACGCGAAAGCUAGGGGAGCGAACAGG
rnacentral:rRNA from 1 species